UACCCGCUGAGUUUAAGCAUAUCA
rnacentral:rRNA from 4 species